rnacentral:tRNA from 1 species
ACAUGUUUGGCUCAGUCAGGAGAGCAUGUGACUCUUGAUCUCGGGAUUGUGGGUUCAAACCCCACAUUAAGCA